rnacentral:rRNA from 1 species
UGGGGAAUAUUGCACAAUGGGCGCAAGCCUGAUGCAGCCAUGCCGCGUGUAUGAAGAAGGCCUUCGGGUUGUAAAGUACUUUCAGCGGGGAGGAAGGAGUUGUGGUUAAUAACCUCAGCAAUUGACGUUACCCGCAGAAGAAGCACCGGCUAACUCCGUGCCAGCAGCCGCGGUAAUACGGAGGGUGCAAGCGUUAAUCGGAAUUACUGGGCGUAAAGCGCACGCAGGCGGUCUGUCAAGUCGGAUGUGAAAUCCCCGGGCUCAACCUGGGAACUGCAUCCGAAACUGGCAGGCUUGAGUCUUGUAGAGGGGGGUAGAAUUCCAGGUGUAGCGGUGAAAUGCGUAGAGAUCUGGAGGAAUACCGGUGGCGAAGGCGGCCCCCUGGACAAAGACUGACGCUCAGGUGCGAAAGCGUGGGGAGCAAACA